ACCUGAGCCUCAACCAGCUGCAGGAUUCAGGAGUGAAGGAGCUGUGUGGUUUUCUGGAGAGUCCACACUGUCGACUUUAGACUCUGAGGUCAGACACCAUGUUCACACUGUAUAUUGUUAUUAAUAACUCAGGUGUGCUGGUGUCUUUAUACAUCAGUUGCGACCAUCUGACCAAAUGUGUUCAACUAGUUCAUGAACUCAACUCAGCACUUUCACAGACUGGACAGACGAGGAACUUCUGAUGGUUCAGAUCAGUGAUUGAAGACGUCGUCUUUGUUCACACAUACAAGGCUGCUGAUAGAAACAUGAGUGAGGACAAAACCACAGAGAUGCACAAGAGAGAAAAGUCCUUUAUUCUUCAUCCAUCAUAUGAUUCUCCACAUUGUGAACCUGCAGCUCUGAACAGACGAUCACACACUGGAUGAUUCCAGCAGGAACUUUUCUACUAAAGUCUCAUGUUUUAUUCUUUAUCCAGGUUGAAGAGCUGCAGGUUGUCAGAGAUCAGCUGUUCUGCUCUGGUCUCAGCUCUGAAGUCCAACUCCUCCCACCUGAGACAGCUGGACCUGAGUGGAAACAAAAUUCAGGAUUCAGACCUGGAGAAGCUGCAGGAUCUUGUCCCGAAAGUCGAGGGUUGAGUCUGGAGCCAGUGAGGAGACGGAGGCAGGAGCUGUCAUCCAGGUGAGAGCGAAGAGGACGGACAGAGGACGAGCUGCGUCCUGACCAUCAGCGGCAGCUCGUGUGACCUGGAGGCGGAGCUUCAUCCUGCAGCGACCGACGGAGGAAUCGGACGAGGUGGAGACGAGUGUCGCCGCAGCUCAGCUCCACCUGCUGAAUAUACUCUAUCAUAUUUAAUUGUAGUAUUUUCCACCUUUGGAUAUUAGUUUAUAUAUCUGUGUGUAGACCACGUUCUGUCUCUGUCUGUGUGCUGAAAGUCACAGGAUUUAUAUUGAUUAUUUAUCAUUUAUCAUGAUUAAUUAUUAUUUAUCACAACGCUUCUUACAUUGAACAGAAAUCAUAUUUAAGUAACUGUAAAAACAGACAAAUUAGAAAAUCAAAUCAAAUGUUUUUUCUUGUGACAUUAUUUGUGGGAUAUGAAGCAAAAAUUUAUCACGAUAAAGAUGCUCAAGCUUUUUCUGCCGUCAACCAAUAAAUGAAUAAAAUGUCAAUACUUAAAUGCUGUUUGUUUUAUCAUCACAGGUUGUUCAACGUUUAUUUACGUUUUAUUUCAAAUUAUAAAUCACUUAAAUCUCA